rnacentral:misc_RNA from 1 species
GUUGUCUUUAGGUGUUCGAGGAAACUAAAGACUGUUACAUUUCCUCAGUUGGAGAACAAUUCGGCUAUGGAAUCAACUCGUGAAGUAAUAAUACCGAUGAGAAGAAUUCUUGAAAAUUUGCAUUUCUAGCAGAAGGGGCUACAUUUCCAAUCUAUUGCGCGAAACCAAGAAUCCAGUCUGCUAUGCUGAUCGUUACAUCAGAGUCAGCA